GGACUACACGGGUAUCUAAUCCCGUUUGCUCCCCUGGCUUUCGUGCCUCAGCGUCAGGAAAUGUCUAGAGACUCGCCUUCGCCACUGGUGUUCCACUUGAUAUCUACGCAUUUCACUGCUACACCAAGUAUUCCAGUCUCCCCUCCAUUCCUCGAGCCAGGUAGUUUCCAACGCAGUUUCCGGGUUGAGCCCGGAGAUUUCACGUCAGACUUACCCGACCGCCUACGCACCCUUUACGCCCAGUGAAUCCGAACAACGCUUGGGACCUCUGUAUUACCGCGGCGGCUGGCAC
rnacentral:rRNA from 1 species